GGGGAUGUAGCUCAGUUGGUGGAGUGCUUGCUUUGCAUGCACGAGGUCCUUGGUUCAAUCUCCAGCACCACUG
rnacentral:tRNA from 1 species